rnacentral:rRNA from 1 species
GAUGAACGCUGGCGGCGUGCCUAAUACAUGCAAGUCGAGCGAACAGACGAGGAGCUUGCUCCUCUGACGUUAGCGGCGGACGGGUGAGUAACACGUGGAUAACCUACCUAUAAGACUGGGAUAACUUCGGGAAACCGGAGCUAAUACCGGAUAAUAUAUUGAACCGCAUGGUUCAAUAGUGAAAGACGGUUUUGCUGUCACUUAUAGAUGGAUCCGCGCCGCAUUAGCUAGUUGGUAAGGUAACGGCUUACCAAGGCAACGAUGCGUAGCCGACCUGAGAGGGUGAUCGGCCACACUGGAACUGAGACGCGGUCCUGACUCCUACGGGAGGCAGCAGUAGGGAAUCUUCCGCAAUGGGCGAAAGCCUGACGGAGCAACGCCGCGUGAGUGAUGAAGGUCUUCGGAUCGUAAAACUCUGUUAUUAGGGAAGAACAAAUGUGUAAGUAACUAUGCACGUCUUGACGGUACCUAAUCAGAAAGCCACGGCUAACUACGUG